GCCUGGAUGGCUCAGUCGGUUAAGCGUCCGACUUCGGCUCAGGUCGUGAUCUCACGGUUUGUGGGUUCGAGCCCCACAUCAGGCU
rnacentral:tRNA from 1 species